AUCCAAUCGAAGAGGACGCGGCAGAGACUCUGCUGCCUGUCAGUUUCUUCCCGGAUCUGAGCUCCUGAGCGCCCGGAGAUGCAGUGCUGUUGAUCCAGGUGUGAGUCUUGAAGGUUAAUCGGACGGACGGAUCGUCUGCUAUUGCAGGAAAGGCAUCCUGUCCUGCUCAUGUUCCAUCAUUGGCUUGGUUCUAAUCAUCACCUCCAGGGGGUUCUACACAGACCAACAUGCUGCACUUCACUGUGCUCCUCCUCUGCCUCCUGUCCCUGACUCUCACUUCCACUGAUGCAUCAGUGUUCAGAGGGGAACCUGGCUUCUACUCAGACGAUGCUACAGGUUACGGGCCGGUGUUUGAGGAUCAGCCGGUCGACACCAUCUACCCCGAGGAGUCACCUGAGGCCAAAAUCACCAUGAGCUGUCGAGCACGAGCCAACCCACCUGCCACAUACACGUGGAGAUUAAACAGCAGGAAUAUAGACCAGGAUGAAGACAACCACUACACUUUGGUGGGAGGCAACCUGGUCAUCUCUAACCCCAUCAAGAACAAACACGUUGGGAAGUACACCUGUAAGGCCACCAACGACUACGGCACUGUGGUCAGCAGAGAAGCCGCUGUCCAGUUUGGAUACCUGGACUUCUUCUCCUCUGAGGAGAGAGAGGCGGUGUAUGUGAAGGAGGGCCAGGGGGCAGUGCUGCUCUGCGCUCCUCCCCCACACUACCCAGACGAGCUGUCAUUCCGCUGGAUUCUGAAUGAGUUCCCCGUCUUCAUCCCUCUGGAUAAACGUCGCUUCAUCUCUCAGACUACAGGGAACCUCUUCAUCUCUAAGGUGGACUCGUCUGACAGCGGAAACUACUCCUGCUUCGUCUCCAGUGCCUCCAUCGCCAAGAGCGUCUUCAGCAAGUUCAUUCCCCUCGUCCCCCUGGCUGAACGCCCAAUAAGGAAGUACCCUGCUGAUAUCAAAGUCAAGUUCCCAGACACCUUUGCACUGGUGGGCCAGAACAUCACACUGGAAUGCUUCGCCCUGGGAAACCCCAUCCCACAGAUCCGCUGGAGGAAGAUGGACGGAGAGCUGCCGGCCAAUCACGAAGUCAGCAUGGCAGGGGCCCACCUCCAACUGUACCACGUGCAGUAUGAGGACGAGGGGACGUACGAGUGUGAGGCCCUCAACUCCAAAGGGAAGGACUGGCACCGGGCUCGGGUCUCUGUAGAAGCCUUCCCAGAGUGGACAGAGUCCAUCAGCAGUACAGAGCGGGACAUCAGCAGUGACUACACCAUGUCCUGUGAGGCCAGCGGCAAGCCCAAGCCCCACGUCCACUGGCUCAAGAACGGCUACCCGUACGAUAAGCAUGAUCUGAAGUUCAGAGGACUGACGUUUGAGGACUCUGGGAUGUACCAGUGUAGAGCGGAGAAUCGGCAUGGAGUCAUCUAUGCUGACGCAGAGCUGCGUGUGAUUGCAUGCGCCCCUACGUUUGAGCAUAACCCAGUAAAGAGGAGGAUCCUGGGGGCUAAGAAUGGCCGUGUGGUCCUAGAGUGUAGACCUAAAGCUGCUCCCAAAGCCUCCUUGUCCUGGAGCAAGGGCUCUGAACUCCUCUUCAACUCCAGCAGGAUGUUAAUCUGGGAGGAUGGUAGUCUAGAGAUCCUGAAUGUGACCAGGGCAGACGAGGGGCGCUACACCUGCUUCGCUGAGAACGACCGGGGCAAGGCCAACAGCACAGGCUUCCUCUCUAUCACAGAGGCCACUAAGAUCACCUUGGCUCCGUCCAACGCGGACGUGACGGCGGGCGAGAGCGCCAGCAUGCAGUGUGCCGCAUCACAUGACUCAACGCUGGACAUCACGUUCGUCUGGACCAUGGACGGCCGCUCCAUCGACUUCGACCGGGACGGGGCCCACUAUGAACGCAACCCGAAUGGUGGGUCCAGUGGAGAGCUGAUCAUCAAGAACACCCAGCUGAAUCACUCUGGACGUUACACCUGCACCGCCCAGACCCCCGUGGACAACGUCUCCGCAUCCGCUGACCUGGUCGUCAGAGGUCCCCCUGGGCCUCCAGGUGGGGUACGUGUGGAGGAGAUCAGGAACAAGAGUGUCCGUCUGAUCUGGAGCAGUGGAGCAGACAACCACAGCCCCAUCUCUAAAUACACCGUCCAAUGCCGGGACUGGUUCUCUCAGGAAGACUGGAGAGAUGCCACCACAUCUCCUCCGGAUGUGGAAGGCAAUGCAGAGACAGCCACGGUGGUGGACCUGUUUCCCUGGACAGAGUAUGAGUUUAGGGUGAUAGCCACCAACACCCUGGGGACAGGAGACCCCAGCAGCCCCUCUCCCAAAGUCACCACGUUGGAGGCUGUUCCCGUGGUGGCGCCCUCAGACAUUGGCGGUGGUGGCGGGACCAGCAAGGAGCUGACCAUCACUUGGACGCCGGUGCAGCCGCAGUACUACUACGGCCGCAACUUUGGCUACAUCAUCGCCUUCAAGCCCCACGAUGUCUACGAAUGGAUGAAGGUGACUGUGGCAGACCCCGAGGCUAAACACUAUGUCCACAAAGACUCAUCCAUCCCCGCCUCCACAGAGUUCCAGGUCAAAGUCAAGGCUUUCAACAUUAAAGGAGAAGGACCCUAUAGUCUCACGGCUGUUAUCUACUCUGCACAAGACGUGCCAUCCGAAGCCCCUGCCAGUGUGGAGGCCAGGGCGCUGUCUGCCACUGAGGCCAUUGUGUGGUGGCUCCCUGUCAUCCAGCACACUGUUGAAGGAUACCAGGUGCGGGUACUGGAUGAAAGUGGAGGACAGAGAGGCAUCCAGUCAGAGAGUGGUGGUGUCCAGCAGAGAGAACCAGACAAGGUUGGAGAACAUGAGGCCAAACUCCCCCUACCUCAUAGAGGUCAGGGCCUACAAUGCAGCCGGAUACGGACCCCCCAGCCAUCACUUCCAGAUCUACACCAAAAAAGCCCCCCCAAGUCGGCCUCCUAAAAUAAUCAGUAAAAAGCUGAAAGGAACGUCAGUAAACAUCGCCUGGGAACAUGUCGAACCCUUGGCCAACGAGUCAACAAUAGAUGGAUACAAGGUCUUGUACAGGAAGGCUGGCCUCUCCACAGGUCUACUGUAUACCACAAGGAAGCGAUCCAUAGACCUGCCCAUGCCCAGGGACGGGGACUGCGUAGUGGAGGUCAGGGCCCAUAGCGAGGGAGGAGAUGGGGCUGUGGCCCAAGUACGCAUCUCAGGUGGAGCCGUCAUGGUCACCCAGUCCCUCAGCCUGGCCUCUCUGCUCCUGGUGGCCAUGUUGUGCCUGCUGGCCCUCUGAAUGUACUGCGUCUUUCUCUGGCUGCACUGCCCAGUCCAGUGAAGGAGACUCUGUGAGGUUGACGCCUAUUAUGACUUUGGUUCCCACAAUCUUUGGUUUCACCCUGAAGGCCAAAGGAUCAUUUCCCCAACUCGAGGAAUAGGGCUUUGUUUGUGGAGAGAAAAAAAACACAAUAAGAAAUGUGUAUAAAGGACGAAGAAUGACAUCUGGAAUAUCUCUUAAAUCAUACCUACAAUGUCUUUGAAGGAGGAGCGUCAAAAGGAAGUCUUUCAACUUUUUCAAUAUGCCUUAUAUGUAAACCGUUACACUUAUCUUUCACAAUGCCAUGACUUGCCUCUAACUGGGUGAGGUGUGAGUGCUGAAGUACUGCACAACGUCUGUGAGUAACUGUCAAAUAUAUUGUGAUAAGGGCCUUUCUUGUUCAUUCAUAAAGGUGCAGUAGCUUGGAAGUGUGUGUUUCAUUUGACGUGGGACAUUUAUGGAUCAUCGAUACAACGUUUGCGUUCCACAUAUAAAGCAUAAGCUAAGCAGGUGAUAUAGUUGUGAAGGAUAAGUCUACAAGUUUACUAAAUUGUCUUUAUAUUUCAAUUACAUUUCGGUGGCUUUUUCUUAGUACUUUUGAAUACAUAUUUUUUUUCAAGGUGAAACAUACCCUCCCCUUCCAGAGUCAAAUCAAAUCUCUACUCAAGGUCCUUGGCAUAUAUCAGAGUUUUAUUAUCAAACAUCAUCAGACAACAGAGGAAUUUAUGUCAUGCUAAUAUAAUAUAUGCAAUAAUGUUUAUGGUUUUGCCAUCUCACAAGUACAUAUAGCCUACUAUUAACGAUGUAACAUCGUUGUUCCCAAAAACAUUGAUUUUAUCCCCCCCCAAAAAAACAUGCUUAUUUCCAACUCAUAACAUUCUCUAAAUUAAUGGGAGACCAGUUUGCAAGUGUUUGCAUGUAUCUGAAAGAGUUUACUGACAAAACAAGAUAAACUUCUUAGCCGGAGUGAUGCCUGCAUUUUUAGCACAUGUACAUGUGUGUUUGUAAAGUUGAAUGUAUUGAAUAACUGUGGAAAUGAGCUUUAAAACAUAUCAGACCUGCAGUUUCUAACAUGAUAUAAACAAUGUGUAACAGUGGUGCAUUUGGUUUGGUUGUCAGGACAACUGUCCUGUGACCGUCGUGUGUACAAUUUUGUUAAAGUGUCCAAUUGGAGGAACCAUGAUUAAACUGAGUUUGGAAUCAUAAAUAGAAUUCUAGAAUGGGUAUUUGCCAUUCUUUUUGUCCUGUUCUUAGGAUUCUAUUUCUAUGGUUGGAAUAUCCCAUGAAAGAGUACAUGGAGCACAAAAAGUAGUUUGUUUUGACUGUUGUUAAGACUUCAGUGGUAGACUAUAAAUGCUGGUGCUUUGUAAAGCUGCCAUCUUGUUCAUGUCUUAAAUGUUUUCUAUGUUUUCAUAUCUUUAUUAAUCAACGUCUCAGUGUGAGUCGCAGUGUUAACAGUUCUGCAGUAAUACAUUAUAACGUCUGUCUGAAUCUUCAAUCGUUCUUUCUAUUUUAUUACAUAUAACACAACCUGCCUAGCGCCUAAAACAGUGAUGCUAUUAUCGUGUAUCAUUGUGUAUAAACUGGUGCAAAGCACAAGAGAAACAAAAUAAACUAUCGAAAUCAAUAUCUGAGAAUAACCAUCCGAAGCUCAUACAUUUGUCCUACUAUUUUUGCAACAUUGUUUUGUAUUUUUUUAUCAAUAACAUGAGUGUGAUCAGAGUUAUACUGUAUACUGGAUGCAUUAUCAAUUGGUGUUGUUGUUUUUGUUUUUAUGUUUGUGAUUAAUAUAUUUAAUCCUGAUGACCCACCGCUGGUUCAACAGUAGAUGUUUAUUACGAUCAUGUACCACUGAAAAUUCUGUGUUUUUGAUUUGCUCUGCGAAUCCAUGUUCAGUGUGACUGAGUAAUGCUAGCCAUUCUUCUACCAGCUCUGGUCCACAGAGUUACGUGUGGCUUGCUAACGCAAGGCUCAGGUAGCUCCCUGGACCAGAAGCUAUGCUUCUUCUAUAUACAUUGUGACUAUAUCAACAAAACAUCCACCACAAAGUGCUUUUUCUCAGUUUCCCCUCAUGCAACAAAUCAUCGAAAGAAUUGCCAAAUGCAUGAAUGCCUUGAACUUAUUUGUUAUUUCGAAGGAAAUGGUUGCUAAGAAAACGAUUGCCAUGGAAACGGUUGCUAUUCCUACAUCCUCUAACAUGCAUGACAUUGGAAACGAAUGGUAUAGGCCUGUAUGGUAAAAAAACAAACAACUCCAUCCAUACAUUGCAAUGAGUCAACGUACAGUCAUACAUUCAGGCUUCCUAUCAGCUUCAUAUGAACUCCACUGCCUUUGUGGUAAACAAUAAUAAACAUUCAUUCAUUCAGAGUGAAAUCCUUUUAUGUCAGAGACUGUAUAAUAAUGUUUGCAUACUGUACUUUCUCUAGAUAAGCCUAACAUGUUCAUUAGUUGCCUCAAGCCAGUCAUCUCAAGGGGACGUCAAUGUAGGGCAGUCUAUUGUAGUUGUCAAAUUAUGAAAUCUUUCAAUAAAUUACCUGAUUUUUCCAGAAAUAAUCAAACUAGAAUUUCUGGGAAAACUGGGAAUUUGGGGGAAGGUUUCUGUAAUUUUUCCAUCGUAAAGGGGGGGUUAAGGUUUUAAGAGAGAAAAACCUUAACUGGCUAAAGGAAUCUCACUCAUUCAGUAGGUUCAGUACUGGUCAGUCCUGCAGUCUCAUUCCUUACUGUAAGAUUGGUUGGGGUUUGAUGACAUUACCGCUGUGGUUGAUGAUGCAGCAGUGUUUGGCUGUAUAAUGUUCAGUGCUUUGCUCAUACUGUAAUGAAUAGGAAUCACACAUGUUGAGAGGGAGGGGUGAAACUGGACUCUCUCAUUGUCUGGACUUAAAAAGAACAAUAAAAUAAUAGUUACUGUAACUAUUCAUUUAAGGUGAA